UUGCACCAGGGAUUUGUUAUGUUCUGCCUUCUGGCCGUGUUGGUGGGAUUUUAUACUGGUGCAGAAAGGAAAUGCUGCUCCUUGAAGCAGUGGCGGCCAGACAACCGUUGAGACAGAUCCACAGAUAAAUGACUAAUCUAUUGUUGUUUGUCUACUAAUUCUAUCUCACAUUU